GUAAUUGGCUGAGCGCUUUUGUAACAGCUCAUGUUGGAUAACAGAAUAUUGGAGGUUGCAGAAAGCUUGUACUCGCAACGGAAAAGGUUACAUUUUAGGUUAUACCGAGUAGGUACAAACAAAGGAAAGAACCAUGGUCUGACUGAUAAUAAAAGCUAGCAUCUACGUGGUGAGGAAGAUCCGGGCCUCCAUUGAUGCUGGAGAGCACCAGGAACAGCCCAUCACAACACCAUGUAGUGCUAUUGCUGGACAUGAGUCAGUAAGAGCCCCACUGCGGCUGCUCUGAUUCCAGCACCUGAUCAAGGUGUUGGUGGAACAGCAUGCUUGAUGACGUCCUCAGAGACGGCGGUGCAAAAAUCUGGCUCUUCCUGACGUUAAAGCUCUUGCUGGACACUGGAGAUGCGGUCACUGCAGUGGAUUUUGGCAUUACAGUAAAACAGGAUAAUGGAUUAUUCCAUAUUGUAAUGGCAGAACCGUAUACAUUUCCAUGGUAAACCGUAAUGGACUGCUAUCCAGUGUCUAUGCUGUACUCAGUGGUCAAUAUGGAGCUAAUGACACAAAUCCAAGCUUUUUUCACAGCACAUUUUGUCUUACUAUAUGAAAAAAACAGGUGCAACUAAUAACAAUGACUCUUUUCCAUUUUUGGGCUAACUCACAAUACAGGCACCUGAAUGCAAUCCAAACUGUAUGUUAUUAGUACUUGGUAAGUCAUCAUGUUCUCUGUGAGAAAAGUCUGUAUACUGCAGUUUUUGAAGGCUAACUCACCAACCUCUCCCCAGGGGCUGAGCAGGCCUGAUGUUUUUUCUGCUGUUACAACAAAUAAAUAAAUGAUCAUUUAAAAAAAGUUGCUACAGUUGCUGUUUGUACUCUUGCAAAAGGUUAUCGUUAUUAGGCUUAGUAUACAGUGUAAAGACAAGAAAUUAAACCUUAAUUCAAUUUGAACUUGACUGAUAAAGAAAUGCACAGGUGUAAUAAAAGAAUGAUGGAAAAAGCAUGUAUAAAAAAUAUUAAAGGGCUUUCACUGAAUUAAACUAUUGACGUGGUAUUUCUACGACGUGAAGACAUUUAGGGUUUAGCCCUGUUGAGAUGUUCAUUAUUACUGUAUGUACUCAGUUCUAUGUAAUGCUGUAUAUAUGUUUAUGCCACUAGAUGGCGAUAUGGUACAGACUAUAAAAGGGUGAACUGAGCUAUGCUAGUUCAGUGUGCGUAGUAGAUGGUGAAGCUCUGACCGUGAGUAUGAUGCGUCAGAGCAGCCUGGAAUAAAUAAGCCAAAGGCUAAAGAUAA